ACAUAAUGCGCCUUCCGGGUUUCUAUCCGGUUUGGGCUUGUGUCAGUUACCGGGCAACCAAACGGCGAAAUAAAAUAGUUCGAUUAGUAAAAUCAUAUGCAUAGUCUAGACAAUUAGUUCUACUUUUCUAAAUGGUACAUUCCUCGCAGGAUAACUUUUAAUUCAACUAUUUGACAGAUUCAAUAAUCUUGAGUUUAUCUUUACCGAGAACCUCAUUAUCGCCAACGAUCGAUUCUGGCCAAUCUAGAAAAAGUUGUGUGAACGGGUAGACUGAUCAUGCAUCACGUCAAGAUCAAGACUGAGAAGCCAGAUGCAGAGGGGAGUGCUGCACGCAGCCGACUAGAUGCAGUAUUACAGGGGCUGGUAGAGAAGAGUGACAGUGAGAGGGAGCAAAAUGAAGAUGAGACAAAGAUGGCAGAAGAGCCUCUGAGCAAGGAUGUGUCUCCAUCUUCUGCUGGGAAGCGGCCAUCGUCACGGUUCCUACAGCACCGGAGGAAGAAACGGAAAGAGAUGGAUGAUAGCUUAACAGAGAGUAACCAACAUAAACAAAAUGCCUACAUUAUCAAGUUGUUUGACCGCAGUGUGGACCUGGCCCAGUACACCACCAGUACCCCACUUUACCCCAUUUGCCGGGCCUGGAUGAGGAACAACCCGGCGGUCAGAGAGAGAGCUGCAUCCCCAAGCCCCCCACACAGCAUAGGGGAAGAGGAGGCUGCAGACAUGCUCAAUGGGAAGGGACAGAAUGUGUAUUGCCUCCCUCCGCCCACCUCCUGUCCUCUCAACCCUUCUGGAGAUCCUGUCAAUCUGAGGAUCCCGCCCACAGAAAAGCCUAUCGUCAGCAAGUCUACAGAUACAGCUCUUGUAUCUGGUCCCCUCAUAUACAACCACAUAGAACGCUGGAAAAAGAUCAGGCAAAAAUGGAAAGAAGCGUCCAACAAGAAUCAGCUGAGGUAUACCGAGAGCAUCAAGAUCCUGAAAGAGAUGAAGGAGAUGUACGACCGCUAGCUGGGAAUCCCCCAGGCAGUAUCCCACAGCAGAGGGAGGAGAAAAAGAAUAGAGCAGGCAGAGCAGGCAACAGAUGGCACACAGACAGCAGAGUUGGGGACAGAUAUGCAGGGACAGACUGGCAGAGACAGGGAGUCUCAGGGUGUCAUUACAAUGGCGAAGAUAAGGACAACAAAACAUAUUUCAUUUAACUGUUGAAAGCAAAGAAGGAAGGAAGCAACAAUGGAGAAAGAGGUGGGCUAAUACACACAUGGUAAAACAUGAAGGGAAAUGUUUUGAAAGGUAUAUAUGUCAGCCUGCAAAUUAUACACAUUUUAAAAUGGGCCAUAUUAUAUUUCCAAAUAUAAUUGUGACUUUGUAGGCCUCAUGUCCUGCACCACCAUCACGUUCUCUCCCAGCUUCAUGGUUUGAAUGAGGUCAGUACUUCCAGUCCUUAUAAUACAAUACAAUACAUUCCACACACAAAAAUAUUAGGCUACUGGAGCUUGUUUCCUUUAUUUAUCCAAGAGAGCAUGUAUACAUCUAUUGGCUUUAAUGUUUUUGUGUAAUGUGCGGUAGCCUAUAUCAUAAACAAUGUAUUGGAAAAUGGCACUAUCAUUUGGGCUUUUUUGGGCUUGGGAUCAUAAAAUGUCUUUGAUGCCGAUCAAAGCUCUAAUCAAAUCCAGACACAUUUAUAUUCUUUAUAUACUUUAGGAUGGCACUUCUGGUUUUGGCAUGAAAUACCGGGUUCGUCAUGUGACAAUUCACUUAUGUUCGGGAUGGAACAUUUGUAAAAUACCAGGAAAAUAUUGAAUCCUGUUAUGCUUGCUUGACACAUAUUUUUAAAUACUUUCCAUAUUUGCUGUCUGGGGGGGGAGAAAAACUUUACUUUCCCCAGGACAAUUCACACAUUUAAAAUAAAAUAAAAACCUGCCAAAUGUGUUUUAGUAAGGCUAUCUAUGGGUUACUAUUAAUGAACGCAAAGUUUUUUUUGUGCAUGCGUGUGUGUGUUUUGUUUUGUUGAUGGUUAUGUUUUUCCUGAAUGGUCUCUCGGCACUGCUCUGACUUCAAACAGAAAAAAAUCUUAUACAACUUUAAUUGAAUGCAUCUUUUUCAGUUACAUUGAAAACAAUUAGACUGUAGCAACACAGUGAGCGGCUGUGCAUGAGACAGGUUGAAAUGUCACUAGCUGAUGGGAAAGCUAGCCGGAUCAGGUCUGUGUGACAUCACACACUCAUCUGUGGGACCACUGUUUGCAGGAAGAAGAGUUUGUGUGCGGAGACAUGGUUGCUAUUGCAGCUGGGGUCCACUGUGACUAGUUGGAUGCGACGGUCUGGCCAAUCCAGCCACGCAGGUAGGCGGCACGGGAGGAGACGGCAGGGGUACUGACGUUGCAGUUGGUGGUGCCCUAGGACACGAUACCCAAUUGAAACCACACGCCACUGCUCUGACACACCAGAGGACCGCCAGAAUCACCCUGGAGAUGGAGGAGAAGAAGGGAGAGGUUAGGCGCACUGGCACUGGUAGAGAUUAUUGUAUUAGGGGCCGAGUUGUAGCCUGACUGACUUCCAUUGUCAUGCCAUUGCCAGAGAAUUUGGUUAAACAAAUCUGUACCUGGUUACUUUAAGAUAGCGCAUGUGUUGGGUGAAAGGUUAUUGUCAGACGAAAUUAUACGAGAGUGAUUAGAGAGAAAUGUUCAGUAACUGACUGGAGAAAGGUAUCCUCCACUUGCUCCAGGAGGACAUGGGAGGUCAGUCAGUUACCUGACAUUCCGGAGGCUCCGGUGCAGAUCAUGGCGUCAGUGAUCCUGCUCUGUCCCCAGUACUGCUUGCACUGAGCAGGGCUCAGCGGAGGAAGGGCCACCUGCUGGAGGACACGGGGGCUUGCUGGGGACAGGGGACGUGGUUAGGAAGGAGCUCAGUGCUCUAAUGAAAGCUGAGGUGGAAACAUUGGCACAAUACAUUUAACAGUUUACAAAUUUAGCAGACGCUCUUAUCCAGAACACCAUACAGUAGUGAGUGCAUACUUUUCCGGAAAUAACGCAAUACUGCACAUUCAAAUGUAGCACUAUGUGGGAGUUUCUUUCCACUAACUGAGAAUGAGGAAGGAAAUCAUGUUGCAAACAUUAGGCCUUUAGCUAUGAUGCAGCUGUUUUCUUAAGAGCCAUGCCCAUGCUGACUGGUUUACUGCUAAAACAGUUUUUGUGUAUUUUACCAUCUAUUUGCACAUACUCUUGUAUACAAUGUAUACGAAACGCUUCAGUCUGGUUUUAGACCCCAUCAUAGCACUGAGACUACACUUGUGAAGGUGGUAAAUGACCUUUUAAUGACGUCAGACCGAGGCUCUGCAUCUGUCCUCGUGCUCCUAGAUCUUAGUGCCGCUUUUGAUACCAUCGAUCACCACAUUCUUUUGGAGAGAUUGGAAACCCAAAUUGGUCUACAU